UUGCGUAGAGUACCUUAGUACUGCACUUCGACGCGUUGGCCUUUGAUUGAUGGUGCUUGCACCUGAUUGAUUUUGGUCGUACCGAGUGGCGUACGGGUGAGUAACACGUUGGUUACUUGCCCAGAAGCGGGGCAUAACAUUUGGAAACAGAUGCUAAUACCGCAUAACAGCGUUGAUCGCAUGAACAACGCUUAAAAGAUGGCUUCUCGCUAUCACUUCUGGAUGGACCUGCGGUGCAUUAGCUUGUUGGUGGGGUAACGGCCUACCAGGGCGAUGAUGCAUAGCCGAGUUGAGAGACUGAUCGGCCACAAUGGGACUGAGACACGGCCCAUACUCCUACGGGAGGCAGCUUUAGGGAAUCUUCCACAAUGGGCGCGAGCCUGAUGGAGCCAUGAUAAAAGAUUAAAGAGGGGUUUCGGCUCGAAAAGUCCUGUGGAAAAAAAAAAACACGUAUGAGAUUAACUGUUCCAUACUUUGACGGAAUUUAACCAGAAAGUCACGGGCUAACUACGUGCCAACAGCCGGGGUAAUAACGUAGGUGGCAAGCUUUAUCCGGGAUUUAAUGGGGCGUAAAGAGAGUGCAGCGGUUUUCUAAGCCUGAUGGGAAAAGCCUUCGGCUUAACCCGGAAAAGUGAUCGAAAACUGGAAAAUUUGAGUGCAGAAAAGGUUGUGGAACUUCCAUGUGUAGCGGUGGAAAUGCGAAAAUAUAUGGAAGAACACGGGGGCGAAGGCGGCUACCUGGCCUGCAACUGACGCUGAGACUCGAAAGCAUGGUUAGCGAACAGAUUAGAUACCCUGGGAAGUCCAUGCCGUAAACGAUGAGUGCUAGGUGUUGGAGGGUUUCCGGCCCUUCAGUGCCGGACCUACCGCAUUAAGGCACUCCCGCCUGGGGGAUACGACCGAAGGUUGAACUCAAAGGAUUUGACGGGGGCCCGCACAGGCUGUGGAAGCAUGUGGUUAAAUCCAAGCUACGCGAAGAACCUACCAGGCCUUGACAUCUUGCGCCCAUCCUAGAAUAGGGGUUUCCUUCGGGAACGCAUUGCAGUGGGCAUGGUCGUCGUCGCUCGGACGGGGAGAAUGUUGCUCAGUUCCCGCACCGACGCAACCUGUUACUGGUGGCAGCAUUAGGUGGGGCACUCUAGGGGGAGUGCGUUACAAACGGAGAAGUUGGGAGUACAGCUCGAACCUCUCAGGUCUGUAGCCUGGUCUACCGGUGCCAAGUGGAGUUACAUGGAUGCGUGGAAUACCUCGGGAGUCAGUAGUAUC
rnacentral:rRNA from 1 species